GGCAACCCUCUGGGGUCCCCUUGCACGCUGUGGAAGCUUUAUUGUUUCACUCUUUGCAAUAAAUCUUGCUGCUGCUCACUCUUUGGGUCCACACUGCCUUUAUGAGCUGUAACACUCACGAUGAAGUUCUGCAGCUUCACUCCUGAAGCCAGCGACACCACAAACCCACCAGGAGGAAGGAACAACUCCAGAUGCACCUCCUUAAGAGCUGUGACACUCACCGCGAAGGUCCGCAGCUUCACUCCUGAGCCGGCGAGACCACGAACCCCACCAGAAGGAAGAAACUCUGAACACCUCCGAACAUCAGAAGGAACAAACUCUGGACACGCUGCCUUUAGGAACUGUAACACUCACCGCGAGGGUCCCCGGCUUCAUUCUUGAAGUCAGUGAGACCAAAAUCCCACCAAUUCUGGACACACUAGGAAGACUGAGACCCAAUUGGACCAUCAAAGAACGACCCAAUCACCAGCACAAAGCUAAUAAACUUGUAAGCUUUCAAUACAAAUAACGUUGGAACAUAGCUAGGAAGACUUCAGGAGACAGAUUCUCUUUGCAGAGUCUCUGGGAGACAGAUCUCACUGUGUCGCCCAGGUUGUAAUACAGUGGGACCAUUUCGGCUCACUGCACCCUCCGCCUCCCAGAUUCAAGUGAUUCUUGUGCCUCAGCCUCCCAGCCUUUCUCUCUACCAUGUGGAUGCCUGCAGAAGCCUGCACAGUCAUUCUGCCACAUGCACUGUGGAUACACAGCUGAUUUACAGCUGGGCUGAAAAAGCCUCAUCUCUGUUUCUGGGGAUUCCAGGAUAUCCUGUUUUUGACUCUUAGCUAAGUUCUAUCCCAAGCAGCCAUAAUGUGUAAGGCAACGGGACAACAGACAGCAUCCAGCAGGGAUUCCUAAGAAAAGACAAAGCUGAAAUGGGAGUCUGAAUGACUUUUCUAGAUCUACUUAUUUAAAACUUAGGAGAUCAUAACAUAUUAAGACGGAAAAAGUGAUGCUCACGCCAGAGAAGAGUCAGCCCAAGGUCAUCUAGGAUCAGUGGCACACCUAGGAUUCAGGCCCAAGGACCCCCAGCUGACCUGCCUUCCCUGGAACCUCACUGUGAGUUCUUUAACCAUGGCUGUGUUUUCAAAGUUGAACUGGGGCUGCUGUUGAUACCACCUUUAAAUGCCUGCUUUUGUCAUGGAGACCAUGAGAACUUCACUCUUCAGCUGGCAAUUUACCUGGCUGCACAGUGCUCAGGCACACACAGGCUUCAGGGCUACAAGGUAAAGGAUUUGCCAAGGCCAAGUGCUGAAACCCACUUCUUGUUUUGAAGCAAAUGAGAACUUCCACCUGUAUUUGACCUGGGUAUGUAUAUUAAUUAGUUUGGCAACUGAGAUUUUUUUCUUGAUGAUCAAAAGUCCUAACUGGCAGUUAAAUAUGUCUUUUUUUUUUUUUUUUUUGAGACAGAGUUUCCCUCUUGUCACUCAGACUGGAGUGCAAUGGCACAAUCGAGGCUCACUGCAACCUCUUUCUCCCCAGUUCAAGCAAUUCUCCUGUUUCAGCCUCCCAAGUAGCUGGGAUCACAGGUGUCUGCCACCACACCUGGCUAAUUUUGUAUUUUUUAGUAGAGACAGGUUUUCACCAUGUUGGCUAGAUUGGUCCUGAACUCCUGACCUCAGGUAAUCCACCCGCCUCGGCCUCCCAAAGUUCUGGGAUUACAGGUGUGAGCCGCUGCCCCUGGUCAAAUAUGUCUUUUUAAAAAAAUAAUAAUAAUGACUUUUAAAUACAAGUGACCUGAGUAUGCAAAGUAUUUCUAGACUCAGGGUUCUUAAAGUGAGGAAAAAUUAGCAAAAGCAUUAUUUGACAGCCCCUAGAAUAGGCCAAAUAUGAAAUAACUAACAAAUUGCAGAUAGUAGUGUGCUCUACAAAGAAAAAGAGAGCAAGACAAUGGAUUACAGAAAAGAUGAAGUUUAUUUUAGAUGGAGUAUUAAGUGACAGAUUCUAUGAGGAGGUGAAAAUUGACCAGACAACUGAAAGAAGUAAAACAGCCAUACUAGUAUCUCAGGAAAAAUUAUCGCAGGAAAAAAAGAGGAAAAAUAAAAUGACUCUAUGUCGGAGGGAGUUUGGGCUGGCAUGGUGGCUCAUGCCUUUAAUCCCAGCACUUUGGGAGGGCGAGGUGGGUGGAUCACUUGAGGUCAGGAGUUCGAGACCAGCCUGCUGAACAUAGUGAAACCCGUCUCUACUAAAAAUACAAAAAUUAGCCUGGUGUGGUGGUGGGUGCCUGCAAUCUCAGCUACUCAGGAGGCUGAAGCAGGAGAAUUGCUGGAACCUGGGAGGUGGAGGUUGCAGUGAGCCUAGAUCAUGCCACUGCACUCCAGCCUGGGUGACAGAGUGAGACUCCACAAAAAAAAAAAAAAAAGGGGGGGGUGGGUGGGGAGGAGGGUUUGGCAUGUUUAAUGGAAAAGGUCUGUGUGUGACCAGAAUAGAUGGAAUGCAGAGAAGCAAAAUAUAGAUUUUAAUUUCCAUGGUUCUUUACUGAAGAGUGUUUCUUAUUUAAGUAACAACGCUAUGAUUAAAUUGAUUGUGAAAGAAUUACAAAUCUAGAAUUUAUUGCAUGAUCAGAUAGGAGAACAGAUUUGAUUUGCUAACUCUGUAUAAUAUACUACAGUGUAAGCCACCCUCUAUUACUUUAGCAAAAGAUGUUUUUUUCAUUUUCCUGCAAGUAUAUUUUUUCUCUAAAACCUUAAUUAGCAUUUUUUAAUAUUGCUGAAAGAUGGGGAUAUAAGUUCCAUUUAUUUCUUGAAACUGAAUAUAAUUAUCAAAUAUUGAAAAAUAAUAAUGGGCAUCAUUAUAAUUACUGUUAAGUAGUUUUCCUGUGUAGAGAGAAUUAUAAAAAUAUCCUUCAUUAUCUUUCAUGGAUAAAUGAUGUUUUUCUCAUGAGCCAGAGAAAAAUUAUCACAAUGUCUGCCCAGGUGUUUCUGUUAUGCUUACAGAAGUGAGUAGUGCUAUUUGCAGACACUGUACUUUCUCUCUUUUUCAUAUGAGUACAUUAAUCAAUUGUGGAGUUGUGGCAUCUGCUGUAAAACAAUUUGUUUUUCCAUUAUUUGAUGGCUACACUUUUUCUUUUAGUUUUUUUCUCUUCUUAUUGAAUCACAUUUUCUUUCCUCUUCUUUUAAAAAUAUUGCUGUAUUGAUUUACAAAAAAUAUAUAUUUUAUUGCCUCAUUUUAAUUUUUGGUAAUCCAUGUACUGCUUUAUUAAGGCCUAUAUAACUCAUAAUCCAACUCAUCGAUUAAAAGUUCAGGAAACCAAAGAGAUGGCUUUUUCUCCAAUUGAAGAUAUCAUAAUGAUAAUUUUGGGGGCUGGUGAAAACUGAGAUUGUCAGAAGGCUAAUUUUUUCUUAGAUGUCAUUUUUGUUGGUCACAAACUAGAGAUGAAGCUCUCUACAGGCAAGUAUAGAACCAUCUCUCUGUGCAACAAUUUGUAUUUUCAGACCACUUUUAGUCUUUGGGGGUAGAUACAAUUACUUAGAAAAAUCUUCAAUGUCUCUUUGGAAAACAGUUGAUCUCGAACUCAGUUCUAAAGCUGAGUCAGCAUCACAGGAUUUCAGAUUCUUGAAUGUUAUUUUUGUUGUCUUUCUCUUACUAAAUUGUUAUCACUGAAUAUUUCUCCUUUGUUUUACUCCAUUUGGACUGCUAUAACAAAAUACCAUAGACUGAGUAGCUUAUAAUACAGAAUUCACAUCUCACAGUUCUGAGGCUGGGAAGUUCAGCAUCAAGGUGCCAGCAGGUUCAGUGUCUUGUGAGGGCCUGUUUUCGGUUUCAUGGAGGGCCCCUUCUCACUGCAUCUUUACGUGGUACAAGUGGCAAGUCAGCUCUCUGGGGCCUCUUUUAUAAGAACACUUAUAGGAAUAUUGAAUUAGUGAACGAGCUCUGUUCUCGUGAAUUAAUCAUCUCCCAAAAGGCCCUAUCUCCUAACCCAUUUAUGCUGGAGGUUGCAAUUUUUGUGUGUGAAAAAUCAGACCUUGGCAAUGACCUUGAGCAGUAGGAUAUAAAUAACUCCCACAAGCUUAGCAUUCCAAUAAGGGAACACUAGGCAUAAAUGGGCUUAAUACCCUCAUCUUAGGGGAAAGGAUUUCAAUAUGUGAAUUUUGUGAAACACAAACAUUCAGACGGCAGCAUCUUUGCUUUCUUAAAAAGUUAAAUGAAACAAGUUCCCAAAUUUAAACAAGCAGAAAUAUGUAUACAGAUAAGGGUAGAGGAAUAGUUUAAAAUUAUUUUAAUUAGAUAUUUGAAGUCCUCAGUACGCUACAUUUAUAAAAAAGAAAUGGUAUAUGUGACAGGGAGCAAAAUAAAACCCUGUGUCAUAAAAAGAAUCCACUAUCAAUUAUUUAAAAAGAUCUUAGCAAGGAAAUAUCAGCUUCGAUAUUACAAACUUUUCAGAUGUGAAAAAUGAUUUAUUUUCAAAUAUAGUUCAAAUGAAGUUUUGCCUUAACAAAAUGGCUUUUCUAAAGGCCACCUUUAGAUCAAAAUACUUAAUCUAACUUGUGCCACUUCUUGGUAACCCUUGGUAACCCCUAAAUUGUUUUCUCUAUUUUCUCCAACUACUCUACUAAAAAGUUUCUUCCUAUUUCUCCACAUGGCUUCAAAAAAGGGAACAUAAAAGAGAAAUACCAGUCAGUGAUAAUCAUGUGGAAAAAAAUAAUAAUGUGAAGCAAUUUUUGUUUGUUUGUUUGUUUGUUUGUUUUCUCUCGAGGUCAUGAUCUGGUACUUUUUUACAGCAAACUCAUACUUAACAAAUUUUAAAGAUUUUUUAAAGAAUGAACUAAUGAAUUGGGUUAGGUAAGUUUAUCUUAACCAUUCUUAUGUCCUUUAAUUUUCUGCACUUUGCUAGUAUUUUACUUUUAGAAUCCGUAGUCAGCUUGAAUCAUAUUAAUUUUCUGACAACUGAAUAAAAAAUAUUUCAAUAUUUCAUGCAUCUUGUUUAUUUGUUUGUUUUGGUAGUUUUUUUUAAGAAAGUGAAAGUAGUUUAAUUUAGAGAGAAGCCAUGGAAACCGGGAAACAAAAAUGAGAUUGUGAUUGGGAAGGAAGGGAUCGUCAUCAAUAAAAUUGCUUUACUAAGCAAGUUAUUGCUGGAGGUGACAAAACUUUGAUCCCACUAGAGCCUUUAAAAGCCAGUAUCGAACACACUGUUCAGUAAUGCCACUCAAAUGAGCAGUGCAUUUAUUUAUUCAUUCUUUAUCAGUCAUUUGGUUGGUAGUAUGUUAUUAAUUCCACAGUAAUUCUGACUUGCCACUUGCAUGGACAAAUUGGGUUCCAGCUGCCAGAAAAAUCCUUCAGGCAAAGGAUGCAGCUGCCACCAGUUGGAAUUCUAGGGGAUACUUGGUCUUUAUAAUUUCUGAGUACAUAAGCAUCUACUAUAUGUGCUUAAUACAAAUGAAUGCCAUUUUAAUGUACCUUAAAAUUUCUAAGCAAAUACAUGAAAAGCAAUGUCUAAUUUCUUGCUUAUUUUCAAGGUAUACAGAUAACUCUGUUAUAUUCAGAAAGAGCAGGGACCUGAAAAAAAAAAUCUGUGUUAAAGUCUCAUAUGAACUAAAAAGAAAAAGUAAUUUAUUCUUCUGCUACUUCUCUUUUCAGUAAGGGUGGUUGCCUUGUCUUGCUCAUUGCAAGAAUGAAAGCUGUAUAAGUUGAAUGAAAAUAUAAAUAUGACUUUGAAGCUCCUUUGUAAUGGUGGGGUUUCCCAGAAGUCAAGUUUCCUCAGUGGUGACAUAAAUCUACUGUGUGAGAAGCAUCUACCUGGACCAACCUACAAAUCAGCCCCCUGGGGAAGUGCUUCCUGCUGUGAGAAAUAAAUCCAGGAAUUCUGGGUCUUCUGUCUGCAUCUAUGAACCUGUGCAGGCUAAUUUCUUAGUUUCCAAGUAGAGUAAAAUCUCAGAACCCACAGUUUCUGAUAAUACAUACCCAUAUAUUUUCUAAAUUUUUCUGUUGAGAUGACCUACAACGAAGGAAAUAAAAUAAUCCUGAUCGUGCCUAGCAUAUAGAUUGUGAUGUUUACAUACUCUUCCACAUUCAAAGGAAGCAUGGCUUCUUUAAGAAAAUGCUGCAUCUAGUGCUGGUAUCCUGACAGAUAUUAGAGAGGAAAAAUCUUCCUAAUGCACAGAGAAAUUAAGGAAGUGCUAAAAAAUGAUGGUAGCAACCUUAACAAAGUGAUUAUAUUUUAACAUUACUAAUUUGAGAGCCAGUCAAUAUCACUUGUCUCCCAAUACCUGUAUACGACACUGAGAAGGACACAUCACUUUAGUAGAAUUCCUGCCUAAAUUAUAUCACCUAAAUGUAAUCAUGUGAAAAUAUCAAUACAAGACAUCCUGCGAUAUAAAAGGCCUGUGCGUUAAGAAAAAUAAAGGUCACAGAAAAAAGAAACUCUGAGGAAUCAGUCUAGACAGAAUGAGCCUGUAUCAUAAUUACCCAUUAUAGACUGGGUAUUGAUGGCCUGCCAAGUCAUAAUGUCUACUGAGCCCAGCAUCAGAUGGAAAUGGUACAACUUAGAUUAAGCAUGAAUAGGACCGGAGGAGGCACGUAAGCUACAUGAGCUGGUAGCCAAGACUGCCAUGCAUUUGUAUCAUUAUCCUCCCAGGGCUUGGACUUAUUGCCACAUUGGGUGGUCCAUCUGAGUAGCUGAAGAUGGAUGUAAAGCCCCAGCUAGGUUUAUGGGUGGGUUGGCCUAAUAUGGAUGAGCAAGCUGAAAAAGUAUAGCAGCAGCCUCACAACCAUAUUCUAGUAUGGCCCUGAGUGAUAUUAGAGGAGGGAAAUCUUCCUAACAGGCAGAGCUGAGAGCAGUGCACCUGGUCACCUACUUUGUACGUAAGAAGACGUGGCCUGAGGUGAGAAAAUAUAUAUAUAUAU
rnacentral:lncRNA from 1 species